GAUCUGCAGGGCAGCAGGGUCAGUGUGUGGAGCUGGGGCAGGCUGGCAUCUCUUCAGUCAGGGCAGGUGCCAGCCCACCACCAAGCGUGGAGCUCGCUCAGCUACACCUGCAGCUGCUGCCCAGGCUGAAAUUAAUUGGUCCUGAGCACAGCUUUCACUAUGUGACAUGAAAGCAGCAGGUAGCUACCCUACAGGAACAAGCUCCCCUACAUCUUGGUGUGGGAUCACUGUUUCACUUCGUGCUCCUGGCUGUCUGAUGCUGGCUCUGCAACAGGAGGCAAGAUCUC